UUUGGUGCCUAUCUUCGGUUUAAACCAGCAUCUGUGGUUCAUUCCUACAUAUUUAACUAACAUGUUCCUCCAGAGUUCUAUGUAAAUCUCUAGAUUUGCAUAGAUAAGGAAAUACUGUACUGUAUACUUUUAAUUCUCGAUUAUCAUCUUGUGGAAUGCUUGUUCCUCAAAUGAAGAUUACAAAGAUCAAUCUGAAUAAAUAGAAGAUAAUUUUGUCACUUUUAACCUAUAAAUUUGUGGCUGAAUGCGUUUCCUUGUGGGAGGCCAAUGUGUCUGAAAAAUAGAUUCCUACCCAGUGAAUCAAUCUCGUCCCAAUUUUAUUUUUACUUGGACUUUCUCUUUUUUUCUGCUUUCUUGUUUAUUUUCCCUCACAUCGUUCCCACUCUACAUUCUGCUUUUGAUUAUUUUAAUAAAUUGUGAGUUAAAUUUUUGAAAUGAUUAUCACUGGCAAUGCCAGAAAUUCUAACCCAUCCUCAAUUACCAUUGAAGGCUGUUGUCAACUCAGUUUUAAAUCACAAAAGUCCUGGUCAUGAUACAGCAGUGCUGUUGGGUAGGGAGUGCUGGGAGUUUGACCCAGUGAUGAUGAAGAAAUAGGAAUACAUUUUAAAAUCAGUGACAGUGCAACCUGGAGGGGAACCUGCAGGUGGUGGUGUUCCCACAUAUCUGCUGUCCUCGGGAUUCUUGAUGGUACAGGUCACAUCUUUGGGAUCUCCUGGGUGAAUCACUGCAAUAUAUUUUAUAGGUCUUACACAUUGAUGUGGGAGGAAAUUAAUGUUUAAAGCAAGCAGGCUGCUUUGCCCUAGAUAUGUGAUUCCCAAAAUCGUAUUUCAUUGUAAAAGUCGAUAAAAAUAGCAUACAUUUUAUUUUGGAUUAAAGUUAGCAUGUAAACAAAAAAAUUCUAUAAUAUCAUGUAUAAUUACUAGAAUAAAAUUAAUAAAGUAUCCAUUAAAUACAUUUUUAAUUAAAAUAAUUUAUCAUCAAUGUGAAGAUUGUAAUUCCUUAUGUUGGGAAAAUAUUUCGGCAAAAUUUGCCUCUGUAGUUGUUCAUUUCAACCUCAGUUGCGGUUCGACAUCUAAUAUGCGGUUCCCCUUCUUCGUCUUAAUGUCCGCAAGGACCGAAAAUCCAACUUCACACAGAAUCCUUCAGAAGCUAGUUCCAAAAGUUGUUCUUCUGUUUGCGACAGACCUUUUGGCACUGAUUGUAGACAAAAGUGCAGCAGCAUCUAUGGAGCGAAGGAAAUAGGCAACGUUUCGGGCCGAAACCCUUCUUCAGACUGAUUGAUUGAUGUUGAAUAGGUAUGUUAUCCACUCAAUAUCUUUGUCCAAUUCAGGGAAAUACUUUUCUAGAUUAAUUUGUUAACUCUGUAAAUUCUGUAUUAUAAUAACCAUCACACCGUCUUCAAUUUGUUCGCUUGAACUUGUCUGUAAUUCAUGAAGAGACUGAAAAGAGUCCACUUCAUUAACAACUCGCUUUUACCACUACUUCAAUUUAGCCACUGUGGCGCUCACCUUAUCUUGAAUGUGAAAUAUAGAAAUUUCCUUGCCUUGUAAGGACAAAUUAAGAUUAUUUAAAACAAAAAUAUGUCUGCCAGAUAUGCUAAUUGACAGAGCCAUCUCCAGUCUUGUAAACAUUCUUUCAAUUCAAAGCUUUCAUUAAGAAAAACCAGUAGUUCAUUCCAGAGUUCAAAUAAACGAGUCAACACUUUUCCACGAGAAAGCCAACGUACCUUGGUAUGGAAAAGAAGUUGGGUAUGAUUACUACCCAUUUCUUCGCACAGUUGUGAUAAAAGUCGGGCAUUUAACGGGCGUCCUUUAAUAUAAUUUAUGAUUUUCACUGCUUCGUCUAAAACAUUUUUUAGGUCUGCAGAAAUCAUAUGUGUAGCCAAAGCCUCUCUGUGUAUGCAACAAUGUGUCGAUUUUGCAUCUGGUGCAAUAGUUUGAAUCCUUGAAACAAGCCCUUGUUUAGAUCCGACCAUGGUUCUCUCCAUCUGUGCUUAUUCCAACACAACGCUUCCAAUCAAGUUUGUUUUGUUGCAUAAAUUCAUCCAUAAUGUUAAAGAUUUCUUCUCCAGUUGUAUGUUCUGGCAAAGGUUGGCAAAAUAAAAGGUCGUCAUGAAGUCUUUGGUCUUUUUCAUACCUCACGAACACCAAAAGAUUUGCAAAAUUCAUAUUGUCAGUGGAUUCGUCCCCCUGUAAUGCAUAAUAACGAUUCUGACGGAUGUCGGAGAAUAAUAUUUGUUUUAUAUUUUCAGCCAUUUCGGUAAUUCUUCAAUGAACAGUAUUAUUUGAGAGCCAAAUACGAUCAAAAGACCUUUUUGCGCCAUCUCCGAUCAUUCCUGUCAGGCCGCACAUUAUUUUCUGAGUUUUUUU